CGGAGUGAGUGGCAGACGGGUGAGUAACGCGUGGGAACCUUCCCAAUGGUACGGAAUAACUCCGGGAAACCGGUGCUAAUACCGGAUGUGGUCUUCGGACGAAAGGAAGCUUCGGCCUCCGCAUCGGGAUGGGCCCGCGGCGCAUUAGCUUGUUGGUGGGGUAACGGCCUACCAAGGCGACGAUGCGUAGCUGGUCUGAGAGGACGAUCAGCCACACUGGGACUGAGACACGGCCCAGACUCCUACGGGAGGCAGCAGUGGGGAAUCUUGCGCAAUGCGCGAAAGCGUGACGCAGCAACGCCGCGUGGGGGAAGAAGGCCUUCGGGUUGUAAACCUCUUUCAGUUGGGACGAAGCCUCGUUGGUUAAUAGCUGACUGGGGUGACGGUACCUUCAGAAGAAGCCCCGGCUAACUACGUGCCAGCAGCCGCGGUAAUACGUAGGGGGCAAGCGUUGUCCGGAAUCAUUGGGCGUAAAGAGCGUGUAGGCGGCCCGAUAAGUCCGCUGUGAAAGUCCAGGGCUCAACCCUGGGAUGCCGGUGGAUACUGUCGGGCUCGAAUCCGGAAGAGGUGAGUGGAAUUCCUGGUGUAGCGGUGAAAUGCGCAGAUAUCAGGAGGAACACCAAUGGCGAAGGCAGCUCACUGGGACGGUAUUGACGCUGAGACGCGAAAGCGUGGGGAGCAAACAGGAUUAGA
rnacentral:rRNA from 1 species